GAUGAACGCUGGCGGCGUGCCUAAUACAUGCAAGUCGAGCGAACAGACGAGGAGCUUGCUCCUCUGACGUUAGCGGCGGACGGGUGAGUAACACGUGGAUAACCUACCUAUAAGACUGGGAUAACUUCGGGAAACCGGAGCUAAUACCGGAUAAUAUAUUGAACCGCAUGGUUCAAUAGUGAAAGACGGUUUUGCUGUCACUUAUAGAUGGAUCCGCGCCGCAUUAGCUAGUUGGUAAGGUAACGGCUUACCAAGGCAACGAUGCGUAGCCGACCUGAGAGGGUGAUAGGCCACACUGGAACUGAGACACGGUCCAGACUCCUACGGGAGGCAGCAGUAGGGAAUCUUCCGCAAUGGGCGAAAGCCUGACGGAGCAACGCCGCGUGAAUGAUGAAGGUCUUCUGAUCGUAAAACUCUGUUAUUAGGGAAGAACAAAUGUGUAAGUAACUAUGCACGUCUUGACGGUACCUAAUCAGAAAGCCACGGCUAACUACGUG
rnacentral:rRNA from 1 species